rnacentral:lncRNA from 1 species
GGGAAAGGUGGAAUUGGAGAAGGAGAAAUGACUCUCAGAUGCUUAGGGAGGGGGAGAGGAACAAUAUUCUCACGCGAAAAAAAAAUUGGCAGAAUGGCAGAGGGAAAUCCCAAAUUUGAUUUCAUUAAGUCGAUGCCUAUACCGAUGGUCAAAAGCCUUCGAUAAAUUCAGUUCCAUUUACCGACGGUCAAAAGCCGUCUGUAAUCAUCAUUUCACGUGCCCC